GGGAUUUAAUUAAGUUAAUUAACAAAUUUAAAAUCAGAGUUAAAAUAAAACAAAAUAGUUGCAACCACAUGAUAAAGAGAGGGAGAGAAAAAUUUGGGCCCAUUGCUGCCCAGAACAUUGGACCAGCUGCGGAUUUUUUUUUGGGCCUCUUCCAGCCUUUUUCGUUUCUGAAAAAAACCAUGUAUACUGCCAGUGUAUACUUUGCAUACGGAUCGUAUUUUGACCCAUUUUCUUGUAUAUCGGACUGUAUACUACGCGUAUACAAUCCUCUUUGACGCCUUCAACCUGUAUUCUCAUUUUUUGAACCUUUAUAUCGUAUUUUUCCAUGUAUACCCGUGUAUACAGCAAUUAUGUAGCCCCUUUUUUGGGCUUUUUGAGACCUGCAACCAGUCCCUAACCCCUGUAAACUUAUUCUUAAUUCGAACUUCACUUAAGACUGACUUAACGGAGAGAGAUUUGGGGUCCUUACAGCCCAUUCAAGACGCAAAGGCAAAGAGUCUCCCACGGACUCGGAAAGGUUCAUACAAGAAAAACAAGAGGGCAAAAAUUAGCAUUCGAAAUAAUAAGACAAGCGAGUCAUAACUUAAACAAGACAUGGCUCAAAUGAAAUGGAAACCACUUAAGAAAAUCAAAACCAAGAAUACAACCAACCCAACUAUUGAACCCAAAAGUAGUAGGUGACUUUGAGGAAGGCAAAACUGAAUUAGCUAAACAAAUGACAAAAAUUAACGAACAAAGCUUGAAAAUUUAACAGUAACAGAGACAUAUACUUAUGAACCUUAGAAC
rnacentral:lncRNA from 1 species